rnacentral:rRNA from 1 species
GAGCACGUAGGUGGGUUUGUAAGUCAGACGUGAAAGCCUUCUGUUCAACGGAAGAAUUGCAUCUGAAACUGCAAACCUUGAGUAUAGGAGGGGAGAAUGGAACUUCUGGUGGAGCGGUGAAAUGCGUAGAUAUCAGAAGGAACGCCGGCGGCGAAAGCGAUUCUCUGGCCUAUUACUGACACUCAGUGUGCGAAAGCUAGGGGAGCAAACGGGAUUAGAUACCCCGGUAGUCCUAGCCGUAAACGAUGGGCACUAAGUAGAGGGGUUUU